GACGAACGCUGGCGGCGUGCUUAACACAUGCAAGUCGAACGGAAAGGCCCUGCUUUUGUGGGGUGCUCGAGCGGCGAACGGGUGAGUAACACGUGAGUAACCUGCCCUUGACUUUGGGAUAACUUCAGGAAACUGGGGCUAAUACCGGAUAGGAGCUCCUGCUGCAUGGUGGGGGUUGGAAAGUUUCGGCGGUUGGGGAUGGACUCGCGGCUUAUCAGCUUGUUGGUGGGGUAGUGGCUUACCAAGGCUUUGACGGGUAGCCGGCCUGAGAGGGUGACCGGCGACAUUGGGACUGAGAUACGGCCCAGACUCCUACGGGAGGCAGCAGUGGGGAAUAUUGCACAAUGGGCGGAAGCCUGAUGCAGCAACGCCGCGUGCGGGAUGACGGCCUUCGGGUUGUAAACCGCUUUCGCCUGUGACGAAGCGUGAGUGACGGUAAUGGGUAAAGAAGCACCGGCUAACUACGUG
rnacentral:rRNA from 1 species